rnacentral:rRNA from 1 species
UACGUAGGGGGCAAGCGUUGUCCGGAAUUAUUGGGCGUAAAGAGCUCGUAGGCGGUGUGUCGCGUCUGCUGUGAAAACUCAGGGCUCAACUCUGAGCUUGCAGUGGGUACGGGCACACUUGAGUGCUGUAGGGGAGACUGGAAUUCCUGGUGUAGCGGUGAAAUGCGCAGAUAUCAGGAGGAACACCGGUGGCGAAGGCGGGUCUCUGGGCAGUUACUGACGCUGAGGAGCGAAAGCAUGGGGAGCGAACAGG